AUCGCUAAAUUGUGAUCAAACCAUAAAAGUCCUUACACAAUGCAAGGCGAUAGCGAAAGGAAUAAGGGAAUAGCGAUAGAAUAGAAAUAAUGAUAAAAGUUAUCACCUGUUGCACAAUGAUGCGAUAGGAAUUAAAGCUAACGAAUCAGAAAUCGUGUCUGCCCUUACAUGUUUCAGAUAUAAACAUAGCACAUAACCUAUUAACUCAAUUUUUAGCGAUCAUAUGAGCCGUGUAUUAACCUAUUAAUCAAAGCAUUUAAAUUUAUUUUUGAUUGUGCAUUCAUUUUUGACUUUUCUAGCAGAUUUUGAAAUAUAUACUUUGCUUUAAAUUAAAUAUUACUUGUGAUUAAUUUGCAAUGGAAAAUGAAGAGCUUGUGUUAUUUACAUAUACGAUGCAAGUAGCUGUACUUGUACACCGCAUGAAAGGUUAAAAAAAGCAAGCGUUGGAAAAAUCGUCGAUGAUAUUUGGCAAUGAGAGAUCAAAUGAUUUUAGCCUACAGAGUGGGAGAGUCCACGGCUCAUAUGAUCGUUAACAUGCUCCGUUAUAAUAAAUAUUUUAAUGCCAAUCUGCAUGAAACCUCCAACAGAAGAAAAAUGGAAAGAGAUCUGCGCAGAUUUUUUUAGCAUCGUGCUGAUGGCAGCUUGUGAUGCCAGAUAUCGAUUUACAUUGUUCGAUGUGGGCGCAUAUCGUAGCAGUGAUGGAGGAAUUCUGUCAAAAUCAGCCUUUGGAAAAGCUUUAUAUGGAGAUACACUCAACUUGCUAAAAGGAACAACUCGUCUACCAGGAAGCGAUAAGGAAAUGCUUUGCUAUGUUAGCGACAAAGCCUUCCAAAUGUCAAUGAAUGUAAUGCAACCUUAUCCGGGCAGAGCUUUAAAUAAUCAAAAAAAAAUUUUUAACUGCCUAUCGACUGCCAGAAGAACAAUAGAAAAUACAUUCGGUAUCCUUGUAGCCAGAUGGAGGAUUUCCAAGAUCAAUUUCCGCUGAGUUAUCAAUAAAUUUGUGCUAGCAAUGUGUUUGCACAAUUUUUUAAAAGCAAAAAACGACGAGAUAGCACCCCAGCAACAAAUAUAUUGUUCUUCUCAAUUCGUGGAUAGAGAAAUUGAAGGAGAAUGGCGAGAUUUAUUAGGAAAUGACUAUCUAAGAUCCAUCGGAAAAUGUGGUAUACAGAACUAUGAGAGAAGCUUAUUCGAUGCGGGAUUCUCUCUCAUCAUAUUUUAUGAUAGCUGGCAAAGUUUCAUGGUGAUACAAAUACAUACAUCAAGAACUAUAUCGUGAUACAAGUUGAAAUUCUGUCACUAAUGCAUAAUUAUUUUUUAUAAAAUAAAAUAAAAUGUUUUUGUUAAUAUUAAUUACAAAAUUAAUGUUAAAAUAGUAUAGUAUAGUAAGUAAUUGUAAUAAUAUAAUAUAAAUAAUAUGUAUUAAUUUUUGUAUUUUAAUAAAUAAAUGACUAAAAUUUUUCAUAAAA